CCCUUAGAUGUUCUGGGCCGCACGCGCGCUACACUGAACAGUUCAACAAGUCUUAACCUUGGCCGAUAGGUCUGGGUAAUCUUUGAACGCUGUUCGUGAUUGGGAUAGACCUUUGCAAUUAUGGGUCUUCAACGAGGAAUUCCUAGUAAACGCAAGUCAUCAGCUUGCAUUGAUUACGUCCCUACCCUUUGUACACACCGCCCGUCGCACCUACCGAUUGAAUGGUCCGGUGAAAUCUCGGGACGGCGGCUUGGUCGCUUGCGUCCGACUGCUGAAACUUGAUUAAACCAUAUCAUUUAGAGGAAGGUGAAGUCGUNACA
rnacentral:rRNA from 1 species